GUCUAUACCACCCUGAACAUGCCUGAUCUGAUCUCAGAAGCUAAGCAGGGUCAGGCCUGGUUAGUACUUGGAUGGGAGACCCUUUAAUGGUUUUGUGUAUGGACA
rnacentral:rRNA from 1 species